rnacentral:rRNA from 1 species
GAUCCUGGCUCAGGAUGAACGCUGGCGGCGCGCCUAACACAUGCAAGUCGAACGGACGAUGAAGAGCUUGCUUUUCAAAGUUAGUGGCGGACGGGUGAGUAACGCGUGGGUAACCUGCCUCAUACAGGGGAAUAGCAGCUGGAAACGGCUGAUAAAACCGCAUAAGCGCACAGUGCCGCAUGGCACAGUGUGAAAAACUACCGGUGGUAUGAGAUGGACCCGCGUCUGAUAG